UACGUAGGUUCCUAGCGUUGUUCGGAAUUACUGGGCGUAAAGAGCUCGUAGGCGGUCUGUCGCGUCGAUCGUGAAAACUUGGGGCUUAACCCUGAGCUUGCGGUCGAUACGGGCAUGACUGGAGUUCGGCAGGGGAGACUGGAAUUCCUGGUGUAGCGGUGAAAUGCGCAGAUAUCAGGAGGAACACCGGUGGCGAAGGCGGGUCUCUGGGCCGAUACUGACGCUGAGGAGCGAAAGCGUGGGGAGCGAACAGG
rnacentral:rRNA from 1 species